GACGAACGCUGGCGGCGUGCUUAACACAUGCAAGUCGAACGCUGAAGCUCAGCUUUUGUUGGGUGGAUGAGUGGCGAACGGGUGAGUAACACGUGAGUAACCUGCCCCCUUCUUUGGGAUAACGCCCGGAAACGGGUGCUAAUACUGGAUAUUCACUGGUCUUCGCCUGGGGGCAGGUGGAAAGGGCUUUUCUGGUGGGGGAUGGGCUCGCGGCCUAUCAGCUUGUUGGUGGGGUGAUGGCCUACCAAGGCUUUGACGGGUAGCCGGCCUGAGAGGGUGACCGGUAACAGUGGGACGGAGAUACGGCCCAGACUAGUACGGGGGGCAGAAGUGGGGAAAAUUGCACAAUGGGUGCAAGCCUGAUGCAGCGACGCCGCGUGAGGGAUGGAGGCCUUCGGGUUGUGAACCUCGUUCGCUCAUGGUCAAGCCGCAACAAUGGUUGUGGUGAGGGUAGUGGGUAAAGAAGCGCCGGCUAACUACGUG
rnacentral:rRNA from 1 species